rnacentral:tRNA from 1 species
GAAGGUGUAGCUCAGUGGUAGAAUGUAUGCUUAGCAUGCAUAAGAUCCUUGGAUUCAAACUCCAUUAUCUCUC